rnacentral:tmRNA from 1 species
GGGGUAGUAAAGGUUUCGACAGGGGUCUUGCAGCUGGAGAAGCUAUCCGUUGCGACACGUUAAUCGCGCUGCGAACUAUGUUCGCUAUUAAACUAAACGCUGAAGAUAAUACUCAGUAUGCACUGGCAGCGUAAGUUAAACCUCGGUUUAACUUCGCUGUGAGUGACGCCGCCUAAGGCGGCUUGUCCGCUCCGGGGCACCCACACUCCGGAAUCCGGGCAUCGACGAUGUGGGAAACGACGGGGCUUAAGCUUUGCGGCUCCGGGCGUAUGAUGAAGCUACCGAGCGCGUUUGGGUGUCAGCUUCCCGGCGCGGGAGGGAAAAUGCUAAAAAUCUGCUGCGCAGAUUUUUGGCAAAAAGAACUGACUAUGAUAGUAGAAGGACAGGGAAUAGGCUUUUGGACACGGGUUCGACUCCCGUCUGGUCCAUAU